CGAGCUUAGAAUUAUAAGGAGACGCCGUUUUGAUAUUGACGUAUCUAUAGUUAUAUAAAUAUGAAACAAACUAUGCAACAUAGUUCUGUCUCACUCUUUCUAAGCAGAUAAGUGUAUUUGAAAACAGGGACAACAAUAUUUUUGUGAUUGCGUAAAAUGGUGACAUUUACUUUUGAAAUCCUUCUGCGUGCCAUAUCUGGCCAUAUAUGUCAUAGUAGUUGUGCUGUCAAAUAGGUGCUCUUCGUGACUUAUUUUUGCUAUUUUAUAGAAUAUCACUCGUGUUUACUUUUAAGACUUUACUAUUUCAAUAGUGAAAUAAUCAACGAAUAUGCCUAUGUGUUGUAUUGUGAAGUGUGGUGCACCAAAAUCAAGCUGGAUUGUCUUUACACAGUGCUUCCGCACAGACGAGCAAAUCGGAAUGCAAGUUGCAGUAUUUGCUUGAGAACUUAUUUACCGAGUAUAGAUUUCGAAUUGUAUAAAUAUUUUUUUCUUAGCACUAAAAUUGUUUUGUACAAUCGAUUAAUACAUAAUUAGCUCCAUUUGCAUUAUAUAACUUUCUCAUGAAUAGCUUGAAAACGAUUUUAAAUUAUUGUAUUUUUUUUAAGAGAGUAUCUCCUUAUGGCGUUUCUUGCGGAUUCUUCUUCAUAGGACCGAAUCUUUGGCACCCUGCAACUAGUCUGACGUGAAAGAACUUUCAUAGGGCUAUUUGAAAUAAUAAAUAAUUACUUUGCCUGU
rnacentral:lncRNA from 1 species